rnacentral:tRNA from 1 species
GGAUGUGUGCCUGAACAAAGGGCUACUUUGAUAGAGUAGAAUAUAGAAGCCCUAAACCUUCUCACCUCCU